rnacentral:rRNA from 1 species
AUUGAACGCUGGCGGCAGGCCUAACACAUGCAAGUCGAGCGGAGCGGCGGAAGGGUGAGUAAUGCCUAGGACUCUGCCUGGUAGUGGGGGCUAACGUCCGGAACCGGGCGCUAAUACCGCUUACUAUCAGAUAAGCCUAGGGCGGAUUAGCUAGUUUGUGGGGGAAAGGCCUACCAAGUCGACGAUCCGGAACUGGGCGGGUAGGAUGAUCAGUCACACUGGAACUGAGACACGGUCCAGACUCCUACGGUAGGCAGCGGUGGGGAAUAUUGGACAAGGGGCGAAAUCCUGAUCCAGCCAUGCCGCGUGUGUGAAGAAGGUCUUCGGAUUGUAAAGCACUUUAAGUUGUGAGGCGUUACCAACAGAAUAAGCACCGGCUAACUUCGUGCCAGCAGCCGCGGUAAUAC